rnacentral:rRNA from 1 species
UACGUAGGUGGCAAGCGUUGUCCGGAAUUAUUGGGCGUACAGCGCGCGCAGGCGGCCUCUUAAGUCUGAUGUGAAAGCCCCCCGGCUCAACCGGGGAGGGCCAUUGGAAACUGGGAGGCUUGAGUAUAGGAGAGAAGAGUGGAAUUCCACGUGUAGCGGUGAAGUGCGUAGAGAUGUGGAGGAACACCAGUGGCGAAGGCGACUCUUUGGCCUAUAACUGACGCUGAGGCGCGAAAGCGUGGGGAGCAAACAGGGAUUAAGAAACCCUGGGUAAGUCC